rnacentral:rRNA from 1 species
AAAUUGAAGAGUUUGAUCAUGGCUCAGAUUGAACGCUGGCGGCAGGCCUAACACAUGCAAGUCGAACGGUAACAGGAAACAGCUUGCUGUUUCGCUGACGAGUGGCGGACGGGUGAGUAAUGUCUGGGAAACUGCCUGAUGGAGGGGGAUAACUACUGGAAACGGUAGCUAAUACCGCAUAACGUCGCAAGACCAAAGAGGGGGACCUUCGGGCCUCUUGCCAUCGGAUGUGCCCAGAUGGGAUUAGCUAGUAGGUGGGGUAACGGCUCACCUAGG